rnacentral:rRNA from 1 species
AUAAGCGCUAGCAAAAUAUAUGACGCAUGUUAGUUGUACGACCAUUAAAAGGUAGUAGCGUAAAGGUGAGUAAUACUAAGGAAUAUAACUAUUUAAAAGUCUGAAAUAGACAAGAAAAGGCAAAAAGCGUAAAUAGAAUAGCCUUAGAUAAAUUAGGUAGUAGGUAGGGUAAAAGCCUACCUAGCCGAAGAUUUAUAGCCGUGUUGAAAAACAGACCGGCCACAUUGGAAUAGAAAGAUAGUCCAAACCUUUCAAAAGGGCAACAGCGGAGAAAAUUGUACAAUAGGCGAAAGCCUGAUACAGUAAUUUUGCGUGAGUGAAGAAGGUGUAGAUACUGUAAAACUCUUUUCAUAGGGAUGAAGUUGACAUUACUUAUGGAAUAAACACCAGCAAAAUUUGU